UUGGGACCGACACAACAGUACUUCAGAGUGACAUUUCUUUUAGAGACAUGAGUGGAAGUAGAGCAGACAUUUACACAGUUCCAAAAUCUUUUUAAUAUUCUCAUCACAUUCUCGGCUGUAGUUUUGUAGCACUCAUUUGAAGGAUUUUGGGAAGCAUAACGAUCAAGAGGAUUUAUUGUCGAUUCAUGAAACAGCUUAUGGGCAAAUUUGAGACCAUGUCCAAGUUCGGCUUCAAAUCUUUCCUUUGUAUGCCGGAACUCAGCAUAACGGCAUUUUCUUCUGUAAAUGAUGGACCUAUGAAUCUACUUUGUGUUAAGAAGUUCUUAAAAAUAACACAGGAUCAAAAAGAAGAUACAUUUUUUGUUCUGUUUUGGCGAAUGGAUUUAAUAUAUAUGUACAGUUCGUUCCGUGACAUAACUCUUCCCUAUAAGACUUCCUGUUCGGAGAAUGGGCGGCAACUAUAGUUGCAAUCGUCACAAAGCCAACAUCAGUUACUGCCUCAAGAACUUUGAGGUAAUGGUCCUUGAUAGUGGAACUAUUGAUUUUGGUAAUUGGGACCAUACAAAAACCAUCUCAAGCCAUCUCAUUGUAUCGCCCAAUAAAACUUACUUUUUAUCAUAA
rnacentral:lncRNA from 1 species